rnacentral:rRNA from 1 species
AGCGAACGCUGGCGGCAGGCCUAACACAUGCAAGUCGAACGAACCCUUCGGGGUUAGUGGCGGACGGGUGAGUAACACGUGGGAACGUGCCUUUAGGUUCGGAAUAACUCAGGGAAACUUGUGCUAAUACCGAAUGUGCCCUUCGGGGGAAAGAUUUAUCGCCUUUAGAGCGGCCGGCGUCUGAUUAGCUAGUGGGGGAGGUAAUGGCUCACCAAGGCUACGAUCAGUAGCUGGUCUGAGAGGAAGACCAGCCACAUUGGGACGGAGACACGGCCCAAACUCCUACGGGAGGCAGCAGUGGGGAAUCUUGCGCAAUGGGCGAAAGCCUGACGCAGCCAUGCCGCGUGGAUGAUGAAGGUCUUAGGAUUGUAAAAUCCUUUCACCGGUGAAGAUAAUGACUGUAGCCGGAGAAGAAGCCCCGGCUAACUUCGUGCCAGCCGCCGCCGUAACAC